rnacentral:rRNA from 1 species
AACGAACGCUGGCGGCAUGCCUAACACAUGCAAGUCGAACGAGACCUUCGGGUCUAGUGGCGCAAGGGUGCGUAACGCGCGGGAACCUGCACUUAGGUACGGAAUAACUCCCCGAAAGGGGUGCUAAUAACGGAUAAUGUCUUCGGACCAAAGAUUUAUCGCCUUUGGAUGGGCCCGCGUUGGAUUAGCUAGUUGGUAGUGUAAAAGCCUACCAAGGCGAGGAUCCAUAGCUGGUCGGAGAGGAUGAUCAGCAACACUGGGACUGAGACACGGCCCAGACUCGUACGGGAGGGAGCAGUAGGGAAUAUUGGACAAGGGGCGAAAGCCUGAUCCAGCAAUGCCGCGGGAGUGAUGAAGGCCUUAGGGUUGUAAAGCUCUUUUACCCGAGGUGAUAAUGACAGUACCGGGAGAAUAAGCACCGGCUAACUCCGUG